rnacentral:rRNA from 1 species
AUUGAACGCUGGCGGCAUGCCUUACACAUGCAAGUCGAACGGUAACGCGGGGCAACCUGGCGACGAGUGGCUAACGGGUGAGUAAUGUAUCGGAACGUGCCCAGUUGUGGGGGAUAACUGCUCGAAAGAGCAGCUAAUACCGCAUACGACCUGAGGGUGAAAGCGGGGGAUCGCAAGACCUCGCGCAAUUGGAGCGGCCGAUAUCAGAUUAGGUAGUUGGUGGGGUAAAGGCCCACCAAGCCAACGAUCUGUAGCUGGUCUGAGAGGACGACCAGCCACACUGGGACUGAGACACGGCCCAGACUCCUACGGGAGGCAGCAGUGGGGAAUUUUGGACAAUGGACGCAAGUCUGAUCCAGCCAUGCCGCGUGCGGGAAGAAGGCCUUCGGGUUGUAAACCGCUUUUGUCAGGGAAGAAACGCUCUGGGUUAAUACCUCGGGGUAAUGACGGUACCUGAAGAAUAAGCACCGGCUAACUACGUGCCAGCAGCCGCAGUAAGAC